UACAGAGGGUGCAAGCGUUGUUCGGAAUUAUUGGGCGUAAAGAGCUCGUAGGCGGCGUGUCGCGUCGGAUGUGAAAGCCCGGGGCUUAACUCCGGGUCUGCAUUCGGUACGGGCAAACUAGAGUAUUGCAGGGGAGAGUGGAAUUCCCGGUGUAGCGGUGAAAUGCGCAGAUAUCGGGAAGAACACCCGUGGCGAAGGCGGCUCUCUGGGACGGUACUGACGCUGAGACGCGAAAGCGUGGGGAGCGAACAGG
rnacentral:rRNA from 1 species